UUUUGAGACUCCAGUGGGGAAGGAAGUGUGGACUCCGCACAGCACAAGGGAAGGCUUAGGUGUGCCUCGAGUUCCCAGCUGUGUGCUGGGUCCAUGGCAUGCGUCCCCUCUUCCAACCUCCCAGCUUCCAGAAGGUGGGGGGCAGGUCAGCCCCUCAGAGGGACUGCGAUGUCUGCGACACCAAGGAAGGGAGAAGGGUGUCUAUAAACAGGCUCACUGCCCAGGGACCUCUCAAGGGGUUCUUUGUGGGCCAAGAAAACGGGAAACACAUACACACACAGCUUUCUGAUUAUUUAAGUCCAUCUAAGCAUAUUUUGGAGGAAUGAAUGUACAUUGAAAUAAUCUUCCUAAAUAGAUUCCUUUAAGGGGAGUUUGUUCCAGCUGGAGAAGUUGUGCUCUCUGUAGAGGCUCUGAACUCCUCUGGCUACGACGACGGGAAUGCAGACAGGGAGGAGGAUGCGUGGGUGGUAGGGGGAGCAGCAGCGCCCCUACCUGCACAGAAGCUUGUCCAACCUCUGCACAAAGCGGACUCCCAGUGGUUGUUUUUGGAAGAUGCCAUUCGGUGAGGGAGCUCAAGCUGGAUGCAUGGGGUGACCACAGGGAGAGCAUCUGACAGCCCAGCUGGGUGCCUGGCUGAUAGCCCACACCAAGUACCAGGCAGCACCCAGAAUCUGACUCCUCCACCUUGGUCGUCAUGGAAAGCUCAUCUCUGGUGGCAGUGUUAUCAUUCUGUCAAUUACUCAAGAGCCCAAUACAAACAGGUAUCACAGAGGAUGUGACUGUCCACUCUGUGUACCUCCUAGCCCACUCCUUGGGGCUAAUGAAUAAUUUGUGUAUUACCAUCCACCGUUUUCUCAUUCCUUUAUACUGUUUUUAAUCAUUCAUUUUUUUUCUUUCAACAAUUGUAAAUGGAUUCCUACCCAGGGGGCAAGGCUGGCUGCCAGCACUGCCGUCGAGGCAUGGGCAGGAAGCAGUGGACUCUGACCUCAGUGCGUUUAUGGGAAGUGGAGGCAGAUGGUCAAGAAAUGAGAAUCUACACACAGGGAAGAUAAAUCUGGUUUGUAACAAGGGCGGUGCAGGAAAUAGACAUGGAGAUGGGGCAGAAGGGAACUGUGUGGGCAGCUCGCUUUAAGAGGCCAGGGGAGGUGACUUGGGAACUGAAUCCUGAGGGAGAGAAGGGAUAGCAGUGGGAAGAGCCGAGGGAAGCUUUGUCCAGAGAGAGGGAAUGGCAGGUGCCGUGGUCUGAGGCGAGAGAGGGCUGGGUGACCUGGACUAGAACAGACACCAGCCAGACAGCAUAGAAAACAAGUAGAGGAGCUGGGCGCGGUGGCUCACACCUGUAAUCCCAGCACUUUGGGAGGCUGAGGCGGACAGAUCACCUGAGGUCGGGAGUUCGAGACCAGCCUGACCAACAUGGAGAAACCCUGUCUCUACUAAAAAUACAAAAUUAGUUGGUCAUGGUGGUGCAUUCCUAUAAUCCCAGCUACUCGGAGGCUGAGACAGGAGAAUCACUUGAACCCAGGAUGUGGAGGUUGUGGUUAGCCAAGAUUGUGCCAUUGCACUCCAGCCUGGGCAACAACAGAGAAACUCCGUCUUAAAAAAAAAAAAAAAAAAAGUAGAGGGUGACAAAGCUGGCACGGGAGGAGGGAGUCUCAUGGGUCAUUGGGAAAAAUGUAAAUUUCUUUUUUUUUUUUUUUUUUUGAGACAGAGUCUUGCUCUGUCCCCCAGGCUGGAUUGCAGUGGUGCCAUCUCGGCUCACUGCAACCUCUGCCUCCCAGCUUCAAGCGAGUCUCCUGCCUUAGCCUCCUGAGUAGCUGGGAUUACAGGCGCCUGCUACCAUGCCCAGCUAAGUUUUGUAUUUUUAAUAGAGACACAGUUUCACCAUGUUGGCCAGGCUGGUCUCCAACUCCCGACCUCAAGCGAUCCACUCGCCUCGGCCUCCCAAAAUGCUGGGAUUACAGGUGUGAGCCACCGCACUCGGCCUCGAUUUCAUUUUAAAAGACAACAACUGGGUGUACCCUCCCGCAUGUGCCCACAUGCACGUGCACAUGCAUACAUGGGUGUGUGAGCCUACAUGCAUGUGUACAUGUGCAUAUCCAUGUGUGGUUGGGGUAGGGGUUGUUUCAUGUCACCAAACAGUGACAUGACCUGGUUUUUCUUUUGAAGAGUCACUCCAGAGCUGGGCCAGGUGGCUGAUGCCAGUAAUCCUGGCACUAUGGGAGGUCAAGGAUGGAGGAUUGCUUGAGACCAGGAGUUUGAAGACCAGCCUGGGCAACAUAGCAAGACCCUGUCUCUACAAAAAAUUCCCCAGGCAUGGUGGCAUGGUCCUGUUGUCCCAGCUACUCAGGAGGCUGAGAUUGGAGGAUUGCCUGAGCUCAGGAGUUCGAGGCUGCAGUGAGAUAUGAUCACGCUGCAGCACUCCAGCCUGGGUGACAGAGACAGAGCUUAUCUCUAAAAAAAGAAAAAAACAAAGUCACUCCAGUAGCUGCAUGCAAAGGGAAUGGGAGCUGAGCUGGUGAACCGGAGACUGUCAGACAUCCCAGGCGACAGGUGACAGUGAUGGCAGUCAGGGUACAUUGGGGGUGAAUUGUGGGGAUGAAUUCAGCCAGAGUGAGUUACUAAUUAGAUAUGGAAGUGAGAGGAAGGGGAGGAAGCAGCGUUUUGGGGUUGAAACAGCUGGGCGAAUGAAAGGGAAGGUGGGCAAAAGAAACAUUCAGGAUUAAGACCAAGACUUCUAAUGUGGCAUUGUCAAAUUCAAGGCGGCGUGGCAGGGGGGCCACCGGGGCCGAGGGGAGCUGUGAUCAUAUGGGAGAGGAGUGCAAAGCCCACAACCUGGGUGAUACCUCCCAGGACCGGGGCUGACCGGGGCUGCUCUAACGUCUUUCUUUCUUUUCUUUAAUUUUACAUUUUAAUUUAAAUUAUAUACAUGAACACGGCAAUGAAGGAUACCACAACAGUCCUGUGUUCUGCCAAACAAGCAACGACCAUGCUUCUCUAGCCAGGAAAAGGAAAGAAUGGCUUUUCCUCGUAGCACGGUGGUGUCGGGAGCAACUCCCUAUUCCCAAUAUUGGGUAAGAUAGGGUUGGAUUGGGCGCGAAAAGAGCUUAGCCCAGAGGGGAGACAUGGUGCAUUUGCCAGAAAUGGUGGGUGCCACUCUAAAGGUGGGUGAGGAGAAUCUUCUCUCCAACCGUCUUCGCCCCCUGGGCACAGUGCCAUCACCUGGGAUUUGCUGCCCCCCUGCACACCUGCCCCAGGAGCAGGAGGAGACUCAAUAGAUAGCAUCAGACUAGAGACUGGGGCUGGGAACAGGGCUGGGAGCCUAGAGCAGAAGCCAGGUCCAGAGAGGGUUAAGGGGAGAGGACAGUCCCCAAGGGAACCAGAAGGAGCCCCUGGAGGGCAGGAGGCAAGUGACCAUCACCAAGGAACCCGAGGAGGAGGCUCAGGAGCAGAGGCUUCGAGAGGCUGCAGGACUGGCUGUCAGCACCGUGUUAGCCAUUAGCCAUCAUGUCCUAGUCCCUUCACGGUUCCUAGGUCAGGGUCCUCCUGCUUCUGUGACGGUCACAGCAUGUGCUCCUGUGGUCCUCCUCUGGUUGCUCUUAGGACACAGGAGGCUUACAUCACUUCAGAGUGACCGCAAGCUGCUGGGUCAGCAAUGACCUGCCCCACCCCUUCCUGAACUCAGGUCCCCUGUGCCACCCACAUCAGUGUCACAGAAUAAGGAAGUUCUCUGCUGUGUCUUCCCACAAGCAUUGGUUUUGAUUUCCCUGCUCUGACAAUAGCCCUACAGGGAUGCUGUGGAGUGACAAUGAGGAAAGCGAGCCUUGGCCACACUUCAGUCACUUUGGGCAGCAGGGACCAGGAAGGCAGGAGGCCAGGGGACAGGCAGGAGGACAGCCCUGCAGAAAUGUGUGGGAAGCUGUGCUCCUGCCCCAAGUGAGCCCCUGAGUCCCAACGGCAGACCCCCCAUCCUUGGCCAGCUGUCUCAUGCAAGAGAGUCCACAUCCUGGGGACAGUCCCACCCUGGCCACCCGGACCAAGCACAGCUCCUCGCCCUCCCAGCCUGGCCGGUGCUCGCUGAGGUGGAAACCUCAGAAGAAGAAACUCAGCGGCCUCAUCUGCAGCGGGUUGGGCUGGGAGCCCAUCACGGAUGGGUUUACAAACCAGAAAUGUUAGACUACAAACAACAAUUUCACAUCUGUAAACCACUUCAUCUGAUGACAAACAUGGCCUCAGGCUCAAAUGUUUACAGCAAAUUGGGGCAAAAAUACUGUCUGGAGUUAAAUUCUCAGUAGCAAAUUGUACAAGCCGGAGAGCAGGGCAGCGCCUCCAGAGAGGAAAGAAGAGAGGGUGAGCCUCUCAUGCCUCCCCUACACUGGUCCCUUUGCCCAGAAUGACUGCACGUUUUUCAUCACUUGCUUCCAACAAGUGGAGUUAGGACUGUUAUCAAACCCAGAGACACAAGCAAAGGGCAGCUUUGACAAGCCGGUCCCUCCCGCACCCGCCCCUGCGUGGGAAAUGCCAAAGUCCUCUGCUCAGGGCGGGGCUGGGGUGCGCCCCGGAGUGCUCUGGGGCACCUGGAGGAGGUUUCUUUGUGUGAAGUCUCUGUCACUGUGUGUGGGUGUGUGUGUGUAUGUGUUUUGUGCAUGUGUUGUGUGUGUAUGUGUUGUGUGUGUUGUGUGUAUGUGUGUCUUGUGUGUGUUUGUGUGUUGUGUGUGUCUAGGCCAGGGAAACAGUGAGUCGUUUCUGCCCAGGAGCAGCUGCAUGUGAGGCCCGUUCUUGGUCUUAUAUGCGGCUUCUGAGGACUUUCCAGAAAUCGUGAGGUGGGAGCCGCCGCUGUAAUCAGGCAUAUAAGUCACACAUCCCAGAGUUGGGAACCAGCGCAGAAGGCCCAGGACAGACGCCAAGCUGAAGCCACAGCCCUGACACCUGCCGCCCUAGCCCUGGGCUCCGUCUCUGCCUCUGGAGCCUCCUGUCCCCGGGACUCAGCUCCCCUCCCCUCUGUGGCUGGGCUCUGCCUCCUGGGCUGCUCCUCUCCCCAGCCCUCUCUUUGGGCCCAGCCUAGACACCUGCCCCCUCCCUGGGCUCCUUCCCCCGACUGGGCCUGUCCUGGGUCUCAGCCAUGGCCUCCCCUGGGCUCCCUCUCUAGGGGGGUGGAAUCAGGAAGGGGUGGACAGAGGGCGGCUCCCGAGGGCCCCUGACUGCACGUUUGUGGUUCCUUUCCAACAGGGAGACUGGCUGCUGGCUGUCCUCUUACUGCUGGGCCUGUCCCUUCCAAUCAGCGCCCGGGGCUCUGUCCGCUACACAAGGAAAGACAUCUACACAUUUGCUAGUGUUUGUGGAAAC
rnacentral:lncRNA from 10 species